rnacentral:rRNA from 1 species
AGUGAACGUAGGCGGCGUGGAUUAGGCAUGCAAGUCGAGCGAGAACCGUAGCAAUACGGGGACAGCGGCGAAAGGGACAGUAAUGUGUAGGUACCUACCCCGAGGUCUGGGAUAGCUGCGGGAAACUGCAGGUAAUACCGGAUAAUGUCUUCGGACCAAAGGUGUGAUUCCACCUUGGGAGGGGCCUGCAUCCUAUUAGCUUGUUGGCGGGGUAACGGCCCACCAAGGCGACGAUGGGUAGCGGGUGUGAGAGCACGACCCGCGUCAUUGGGACUGAGACACUGCCCAGACACCUACGGGUGGCUGCAGUCGAGGAUCUUCGGCAAUGGGCGAAAGCCUGACCGAGCGACGCCGCGUGCGGGAUGAAAGCCUUCGGGUUGUAAACCGCUGUCGUAGAGGAGGAAAUGCAGGGGGGUUCUCCUUCCUGUUUGACCUAUUCUAGGAGGAAGGACGGGCUAAGUUCGUG